CUGACCUUGGCUCAGAUGGAAGAGCGCAUGGUUGCAACUAGAACCAUGGGGUUGUCUGUUCGAUUCAGGCAGGUUGGA